CCAGACAGCCAGGAUGUUGGCUUAGAAGCAGCCAUCAUUUAAAGAAAGCGUAAUAGCUCACUGGUCGAGUCGGCCUGCGCGGAAGAUGUAACGGGGCUAAACCAUGCACCGAAGCUGCGGCAGCGACGCUUAUGCGUUGUUGGGUAGGGGAGCGUUCUGUAAGCCUGCGAAGGUGUGCUGUGAGGCAUGCUGGAGGUAUCAGAAGUGCGAAUGCUGACAUAAGUAACGAUAAAGCGGGUGAAAAGCCCGCUCGCCGGAAGACCAAGGGUUCCUGUCCAACGUUAAUCGGGGCAGGGUGAGUCGACCCCUAAGGCGAGGCCGAAAGGCGUAGUCGAUGGGAAACAGGUUAAUAUUCCUGUACUUGGUGUUACUGCGAAGGGGGGACGGAGAAGGCUAUGUUGGCCGGGCGACGGUUGUCCCGGUUUAAGCGUGUAGGCUGGUUUUCCAGGCAAAUCCGGAAAAUCAAGGCUGAGGCGUGAUGACGAGGCACUACGGUGCUGAAGCAACAAAUGCCCUGCUUCCAGGAAAAGCCUCUAAGCAUCAGGUAACAUCAAAUCGUACCCCAAACCGACACAGGUGGUCAGGUAGAGAAUACCAAGGCGCUUGAGAGAACUCGGGUGAAGGAACUAGGCAAAAUGGUGCCGUAACUUCGGGAGAAGGCACGCUGAUAUGUAGGUGAAGUUGCUCGUGGAGCUGAAAUCAGUCGAAGAUACCAGCUGGCUGCAACUGUUUAUUAAAAACACAGCACUGUGCAAACACGAAAGUGGACGUAUACGGUGUGACGCCUGCCCGGUGCCGGAAGGUUAAUUGAUGGGGUCAGCGCAAGCGAAGCUCUUGAUCGAAGCCCCGGUAAACGGCGGCCGUAACUAUAACGGUCCUAAGGUAGCGAAAUUCCUUGUCGGGUAAGUUCCGACCUGCACGAAUGGCGUAAUGAUGGCCAGGCUGUCUCCACCCGAGACUCAGUGAAAUUGAACUCGCUGUGAAGAUGCAGUGUACCCGCGGCAAGACGGAAAGACCCCGUGAACCUUUACUAUAGCUUGACACUGAACAUUGAGCCUUGAUGUGUAGGAUAGGUGGGAGGCUUUGAAGUGUGGACGCCAGUCUGCAUGGAGCCGACCUUGAAAUACCACCCUUUAAUGUUUGAUGUUCUAACGUUGACCCGUAAUCCGGGUUGCGGACAGUGUCUGGUGGGUAGUUUGACUGGGGCGGUCUCCUCCUAAAGAGUAACGGAGGAGCACGAAGGUUGGCUAAUCCUGGUCGGACAUCAGGAGGUUAGUGCAAUG
rnacentral:rRNA from 1 species